UAGGAUCAAUAGAUAUAGGUGAAAUCCCUUUAUUUGGUA
rnacentral:tRNA from 1 species